GUGGAGGGUGCCGCGUGCCCUGCGAGAGGUCUUGCCGUAGAAACGCUUCCCUCGCUGCGCUGUAAAAACGUAUUUUCAGCUCCGUCGCCGUUGUGAAAGCAAAUCAGUGCAGUAUGAAGGCUGUAUCACAACUCCAGCUUGGACUUAGUCCUUUUCACUCCAUCUACUGGACUACCAGAUUUACCUGUGCCUAGACAUGUCCCUUCAGGAUAUGUACUGACUGAAGUGAGGAGGAAGCUGAGUCUGCAGGAGUAACUGCUGUAUUUCAACAAGAACUGACCAUGCAAGCUGUGGCUUCAAAGCCUUUUGAACUCCAAGCAAAAGCACGGGCAGAUGGAGCAUUCAGUCAGGCUCUUUGCCCAUCCUUCUGCAAAUGGCAGGAACGAUGAAAGCAGCAUAAAUAAUAGAGAGGAGCACAGCACGGAAAAAUAAAUGGCUAAAGAACUCAGAAGCAAUACUUCUGGAAUUUCUCUCCUCAUCAUUUUCUAAGUCCUAGAACCUUCUACUUCCCCUGCUAGCUAAAGAAAAGAGAUCAGUUUAACUCAGGCAUGUAAGGACAGUUCUUUCUUCGAACUUAAUUGCAAGAAAAGCCUGUGGAAGGUAAUGCAGAUGUAAGGGAUGUGACUGCGCACGCCAGACAGACACUGCCAGCAUCAGUUCUUCCUACUUUCCCCAGCCGUUAAUUACUCACUGGAGAUUAUGCCCCCAGUGCAAUUUCUUUGUUCUCCAGCUUUAUUACAACACAGUGAACUCUUCAGGAGUGUAAGUUUUUGCCAACAAGAAGCAAAUUAAUGACACAUUACCGUGUGUUUCCGCUGUCAUCACAAGUGAACACAGUACUUGUAAGAGAUGCUAUUUGCAGACCUCUUAAAGCAAAGACCUUGGAUCUAGCCCCAGCUAUGGCACAGUGAGCCAACCACAGCUCUACAAGAUACAAGAUACAAGGCUGCAGUGAUCUAAGUGGUGCCUCAACCAAACCUUUAACUCCAUCCAAAUAGAAACACAGCACAGCAACACAACCUCCCUCUGCACUGCCCUGUUAACUCAUCAUCAGUGCAGCUUCUCAGGCUAUUCCACCACCUGGUGGAACCCAAGAACGUACUCCAUUAAAUGUCAGCAAACUAAUUGCUAGCCUGUCAAAAUACAGCAUAUAUGACCGCUGACAGCUCUCGCUGGCUGUGUAUGAUUUAGAUAGUCUUUGUUAUCAUUAUCCCAUGCAAUACAUUGUAUAAUCAACAAAUAUACAGAGUGGUGUGUUUAGGCUGGUAUCUGCAGAUCGUACAGCUAGAAAGAUUGUCAUGUUGGAAAGGGAUAAUUGAAAAUAAAUGAAAAUGCUCACCGAUGUCCUAGGCUCACAGAAAAAACUCCAAGAGGAGCAAUCUCCAACCAGAGAUCCUUCUCCAGUGACAGUUAGCCCUUGAACGGGGUCGAGGAGAGGUGCAUCCAGGCUCCACCCCUUCCGAUCACACAGCUGGAUUGCCUUCACCUGUGCUCCCAGGGCUGACUCAGCCCUUGCCUCAGGUGAUCAAUCAGAGGUUCAGGCCGUGACUCAACAGUUCCCAUACAUACAUAGAUUGUCAUUUUUAAACAGACAAAAUGUACAUAUUAUAAUAAAUUCUUCAUAUGUAUGGUACAGAGUGCCAUGUAUAGGUGGUGCUACGCCACACAUUAUCCAGUAAUAGGUAUUACCAAAUCAUUUGCUUUCAUCGUUCUCACCAGUAGAUGAUCACGGUUUGUUUUCUUCCAAACACCCACUUUGUUAUUUCAUAUCCACUUAUUAAGGAAUAUCCUUAUAUUGUGAGUGGCAAGAAAUGUGGAGAGAGGCCAUAUACCAAAGUGCUGUGUCAACCUGCAAGGACCUGCAGAGGGCAGGACCAUGAGGUUCACUGGUUUGGGGGUAUUACCCAGCACUCCAGAGCUGUUCUAAAGGUCACGCAUUCUGUGCAUAAAUAGAAGUGUUGCUAACUGAUCUUUGCUAAACUGACUGGCUACUUGCUUAGACAGCCCUGAACAAAUAUUAAUUGAAACAAUCCAGAGGGCACAUUAUCUCUGAAGAAACCAAAGAUGUUCCGUUGACUUUGGUCUCAAUUACUCAACAGCUUCCACACAGAAAAAGCACACUCGUGAAAGAAGUCAAUCUACUGCUUUAAUACAAAACAUAACUAGAAAGGGUUCAUGCAGAAUCCUACUGUUUCUGUGAUGACCCCCUUUAGGAAAGCACAACUCGGAGAGGGAAAAUUGCUAGAAAGCUGCUGUUUCAUGUGCAUCAUUUGUCUGUGAGAUCUGAAUCAUCAGCUUAACUGCUGAAUUACUCUUUCUGCCUUAAGAUAUGAGAGAGGGAUUCUGAGGGAAACAGAUCAAAAGGCAGCCUUUCCUCCAGCAUAGCACUGAGUGCAGGAGCCAGUUAAAAGUCAUUGCCUUUGUUCUUUGUAGAGUACAAGAACCAGUCUUCCCAUACAUCUUAGCAAUACUGAGAAGCAGAUGAAGCAGAUGAGGAAAAAGAGUGCCUACCUCUCCUAACUAUUUCGCUUCUGCAAAAUAAAGAGUCCAGAUUAGUCAGAGUUACUUGUUGUUAAAUCUAGCAGCCACUUCAGCAAGAACAAUGACAGAAAACCUUGCAGUAACAGGAUUCACUGUGAGGGUGUGAGGGUUGCUGUGCCAUACUUUACAGGGAACCAUUCUGCUUAAUGGUUUAGCAUCUGCUAAGCGUCAGAGUCGGUGAUGUGUUGGUGACAGCGCAGAACUGCUGAAACACAGGACAACAAGCAACAUGAAAAAGCAGAUGCUGAGGCUGUUCAGGCCCUUGAAAAGGGCACUCAUGACAAGAAAGCUCCUGUGAUUCAAUUCAAGGGCUUCACAUCUGGAACAAAACACUUUUUGCAGGGUGCAUGAAGAGGAGCUGGUAACUUUAUAAAGAUAGCACACUCCAGAAGGCUUGGUUCUUUACUGCAAACAAAGCUGGUAGACUUCAAGCAAAACUACGUAGGCUAUAAUGAAUAUUUUUGACUGUAGGGAGAAAAAUGAAUGGCUUGAGUCCAGAAACUCUCUGCCUACAUACAGAACUAGGUCUGUAGGAGAUCCUUAUUCAGCAAGUUUCCUACAAAAGACAUUAAUUUACAUUUUCUUGUUUAAACAACUUUCUCCAUGUGAGAAAUUCCAGCAGACACAGGCUUGGAGGAAUGAAUGAGUGCUGCAAAGAAUUCUGUACAUCACAUAUGGACACUUGUGACUGCUACCAUUCUGGGGUCCCAAAGAUGAUGCAGACACCAGGACAUCAGUCCCUGUUAAUCUGCAGCUGCUCUCCUCCUGGCAGUGCAGUUUGAGAUACAUGAGGUCCUAAAAGGGCUCAGAUGAAAGGAAAGGUUUCUUUUAAUUGUCAUCACUGUUAAUGAACAACUUAGUCCUGUUCAAACAUUCAGACUGUGAUAUGGGUAAGUGUCUCAGUUUAUCAUGCCCUCAAUCUUUUGAACAGCUAGGUUUUAUUUGCUAAGCUCUGGCUGGUCCAAAAGGAACAAGCUUACCCUGAGAGAGAUUGGCUGAACUUGCGGCCUGGACUUUAGAUAAAAAAAUGUUCAGGAUUUGAUGCAAUUUUGCCUCAGCUACUUUUGCCAAGCUUUGAGCUGUCCUUGCAAACCCAGCAACUAAAGCAAACUUCCCUGGAACCCUCCUGCAAAAUAGAAAGGCAUAGUCUCAUUUCAAAAGGCUUUUACUAGGAGGUUCCAUGUCUACAAGUUAAAGAGAAAUGAUGAGUCUUUGUGCCAAAACGAAAAAUACAAACACAAAUGAAUGUGCUAGUGUUAGCUAUGGUUUUCUAUUUUCUAUGCAAUUAGAAUAGCCAUGUGAAAUAAUUAAACAGUGACAACAUGUACUCCUCGUACUGUUGCAUAAUAGCUUCCCAUGAAUUUAUUAAUCAAUGUAUAGCUGUUGAAAUAUUCAAUAUGUUGUGCUGGGGCAUUCCACUCUUGUCCCCAGGGUGAACUCCUUUCCUAUUGCUCUGGCUCACUCAGCAUCAGUACUGUUGACAUUUUCAAUGAUACUACAGUUUUAUCUUUGAGAUUUUUUGAAGAAAAAAUGUUGCAACAAAGACAAAAUACAUCAAACGAGAUGUCCAGCUGUCCACAGAAACAAAGGCCUAUCUUCUGUAAGUGACAUUCAACUAAUUCAAGGGUAAGUGCUCUCUUACUUGACGGUGGUAUUCAUUUAGCCCCCGACAUCCUUUCCAACUGGAGUGGAAGGGUUGCAGCUGCUUCUGCAGCAUCAUCAAUUUCAGCCCCCGCUGCAAUGAAACCCUUAGGAAAUUUAGUGGGGCAUCAACCUCAUCUCUGAGCAACCUGAGCCUCACCACCCCCACUAUCAAAGACUUUUUCCUUAUAUCUAACCUAAAUCUACCCUCACUGAGCUUUAAGGCAUUUCCCCUUUUUCUAUCACCACAGACCCUGCACUAAAGAGUCUGUCCCUUUCUUUUCCCCUUUAAUUUGUACUCAGCAAAUAAUUUCUUUUCUGGAAGGCAUGCCAUAAGACUGGAACUUUGCUGGUGUUGGGUGGAGAGGCCUUCAUCUUUGAGCCUGAUCAUGCAGCUCAAUUACUGCAUCCUCUGGGAAGUCUGGUAUAGUCUUGUCUUGCCAAUAAAUUAAAAAAUAAAUAACUAAUGCUAAACAUUGAUAUUAGACUUACAUUUUUUCAGUUGGCACUUCUCUUGGCAGCCUGGUAUAGUGGUUGGUGACCCUGCACGUGGCAGAGGGGUUGAAACUUGAUGAUCAUUGUGGUCCUUUUCAAUCCAGGCCAUUCUAUGAUUCUAUGAUAAGGAACAAAAUCAAAAUACCUCAAACUAAGUUUAAAAAUAAACAAACAAACACAAGUGUCAAAUAUUGUCUUCUUACAGAGCUAGAAUAUGUGGUAUUCUCUUUCUUCUGUGUACUCUUCCUAAAAAAGAAAGAAUUACAUAUUCCAGUCCCACAGGGCGCCAAACACAGACAUCUCCUGAGCAAACAAAAUAAGUUACUCGGUAUAGUGAACUAUAAAGACAAGAAUAUGAGAUUAUAAGAAAGCAUCCUCUACACAGCUGUAAGCACUAGCUGCAAGGCUUAGCAUUCACCACCAUAACUUCUUUCUGCUGGACUUACUCUGAUCCCUCUCUUUCACACUGCUAAAACGAGCAAGUUUUUUCCAUCACUAUGGAACUUCCAUGCACUGUUUUUGUAGAGGAAGAGACACAUAAAUGAGUCAGAAAGCCCCCCAGAGUCUGUCAAAACGAAUAUGGGAUCAUGCAUUUCUUGUUUAAAAGUUUGACACCUCCCAGAAAAACCAAGAACCUAAGAAACUAAAAGCCUGGGGAAUUUCUGCUUUGGCAGGCCUAGAGUGAAGCAUUAACCAAACACAUUGCUAUUGGCAUCCAGUCUUGGAAAUUUUAACCCAGCAAAACCAUAGCUUGCUUCAGUAUAAUUAAAACAGAUGCUCAAACCGGGGAUUGCCAGACUAAGUUAAGAAAUUACACACAAUAUAUUUUAAGAAACAAAACAUCUUGAGUAAUCAGGAGAGGUGGAAGUAGUAUAUCCAGCUUUGAAACUAGAUCAGGAAAAUUGAAAACAUUACACAUAGCAGUAAUUAGAUGUCAGUUUUCCCCCAGGCUCUCGAACAGUCAAAAUGGACUAGUGCUAUUAAAUCUUGUGUUCUGUAGGUCUUUAUUUUUGUAAGCCUUGUGCCUUUUGCAGGUCUCAUGACAUUUUACAAGGAAUUGUAAACCAUCAGCCAAGCUCUGCAUUUAUGCAUGCCAUUUUCUCCAGAACACUGCUAGAUGUUUUGAUGACAUUGCUCAGAUAGGUAAACUUGCAUCUACAAGGAAAGCAAUAAUAGCAUCAUCUACUAUGUGUGCUUCGCUGUAUCUCGGCUGUGAGGGGGAAAGAGCCAUUAAGCAAUUUAAUAAUCGGUUAAGGAGAGCUCAUGUCUAAAAUUAUUAGGGUCUUCCGAGGUAUUCCCAUCAAGCUCCAUAUGGCCUCUAUAGGAAACAAUUAUCAUUUUACAAGAAAAAGGAAGUUUCUGCCCAACUUGUUCAGUUUUUAACAGAGCGUAGUCUAUUCAUUCUGGUGUUUUGAAGUUACUCUCAUUUUUUUAAUUACUUUAGAACCCAUUCUGAAUAGGGCUAUUGUCUCUUGGACAGAGCUCCACGUCUGAUCUGUAUUAAAUGCUCCUGAUGACUCUCUCCAGCUGUAAAGACGAUCUUCAAGGAAUAGUAUGAAACUCAAACAGAUUGCCAAUGUCAGAAGGAAGUAAAGUGAUCUCAUUAGAAAGGGAGAAGUUAGGCUCCCUAACAUUUAAAAAGAAGAAAAGUGAGCUACAAGCCAUACGUGCUGAUUCUAUUUUCUUCAUGGAUGGAUCCAUAUGGUGGCAUUUCACCUACAAAUUCUGUAUUUGUUAGCAAUACUGAGUAAUAGCUUUCUAGUCAUGUGGUCUGAAUUAGCAAAUACCACUGUCCUCAGACUGUGACAGUGAACUUGUGGCAGGAAAGUUAUAGGAACCACAGACUUGCAAAGUUUAGGCAUUGCUAAUUUGGAGGCAGUAUUUAGGUAAUUCAGACCACAGCAGUGUUACAGUCACACUCUGUCGGUCCAUGUGGAUAAGAUACAGGUAAGGUAUAUAAGAUACGGAAUACAAGAAACCCCCUUUAUCCAACCUGUAACAUGACUCCCGCACUCAAUAUCACUGGUAGAAGAAGCUUUCUACAGUUUCUCCUUAGAGAAAUCUGAGGGGUGGACCAUAGACCAGGUCUCAGUGUUAAGUCUGUUGAAAGAAUGAAUAGAAAUAUUAACUUAUUUCAGGUCUAGGACAUUCUGAAUUGCUGUACUGAAUCACAUCCAAGUUAUGGCUGCAGGCUGAGCUCUGCCCACGGGCAAGGCCAUCCUCUGCUGAACACUUUCAGUGAUGCUUUCUGCAAUAGAAUUUCAAUUUACUAAGCAGUCUGGUUCCUGAGAGCUACAUGGACAGGCAGGUUUCUCUUGUCUUCUUAUCUUAACUUUGAAUAAACAGAUUAUCUUCCUGUAUUUUUAAUGUGUUUAUAGGAAAGCAUUGUUUCUUUGAUCGCUAACAUUAAAUUAGAAAUGAAUGCAAAUCCAGUAAGCAAGUGUAUCACACACACUGUGAAACAAUCUUCUGGAGCGGAUUCCAUUUUUCAGCAAAAGCACAAAAGUCAUUAGUUUGGAAGGCAAAGGAUGGGUCUGGUGAUCAGAUUUAUGGGGUCAGUUCUCCAUUUGUUCAUUUUGAAUAGAAUUCUCAUGCAUCUUAUACAAAUGCAAUGGAAAAAAAAUAGUAACACCACCAUUUCUCUUCAGUUGAUUUCUUUCAUUUUCUUUUAUGUUAACCGGGUAGUUUCUCAUAUGCAUAGAAAAACUGUACUUGAUAGCAUAGAGUACCACAACGCAGUCUGAAAAUCUGGUAGUCAGGCUAUUUCUAGUGAUCUCAUGGUUCUGCUAUGAUUCGUGAACAUAGAAAUCCAUUAAAAUGCUUUCAUUAAUCCCUGAUGCUUUUACUGUAUUCAAAAGGUACGCAGCUUAAAUACUGAACUGUACAAUAGGCUUUAACCUUCUACCAUGCCUUCCUCCUGAGUCUCAUUGGUUUAAGGAAGAAAACAACCAAAGAACCUGAACUAUGUCAAUGAAAAAUUUAGACAAGUUAGGGCAGAAUGUUUUGCAAGGCAUGACUACUAUGACUAUCACAUCUGAGUGAAUGAUCAGUAUUCUGAAGGCCACAGUUCACCAUCUUUCUAUGUGAAAGAGAAAACAUACGGCUUUCCCUUGUUGAAAAUGGGUUGUGCAACCUACAUACAAAUUAACGCAGACAGGAGCAAUAAAAUGAAGCAUGGUGGAGGAAGACAACACGUUCGUUUAUUAAAAACACACAAUGUGUCUAUAUUUCCCCCUCAAGUCAUUGAUUCUCACUGAAUGUGAAAUGCUGUGUGAUUGCUUUAGCUGUUGCUACUAUGAAGACAGUCGUACUGUAAAAAUUCAUUUCUAUUCCUUCUGCUUUCAUCAAGCAAACAGCUUUCAAAGACAACAAUAAAAAGAAUGACAAAAGAAGACAAAAACUUACCGAAUCUGUAUUCUUCCCUUCU
ensembl:lncRNA